rnacentral:rRNA from 1 species
AUGCUCUUAAUGAUCCCGGCUCAUGAUUUAAUUGCCAUGUAUUUAGCUAUUGAGCUUCAAAGUUUAUGUUUUUAUGUGAUCGCAGCAUCAAAAAGAAAGUCUGAAUUUUCCACGGAAGCCGGCUCAAAAUAUUUGAUCUUAGGUGCAUUUCCCUCUGGAAUAUUAUUGUUCGGGUGCGACCGGACUACUACCGAUCAAUUUUUUGGAACUUAUUUAUAG